GGUUAAGCGACUAAGCGUACACGGUGGAUGCCCUGGCAGUCAGAGGCGAUGAAGGACGUGCUAAUCUGCGAUAAGCGUCGGUAAGGUGAUAUGAACCGUUAUAACCGGCGAUUUCCGAAUGGGGAAACCCAGUGUGAUUCGUCACACUAUCAUUAACUGAAUCCAUAGGUUAAUGAGGCGAACCGGGGGAACUGAAACAUCUAAGUACCCCGAGGAAAAGAAAUCAACCGAGAUUCCCCCAGUAGCGGCGAGCGAACGGGGAGGAGCCCAGAGCCUGAAUCAGUGUGUGUGUUAGUGGAAGCGUCUGGAAAGGCGCGCGAUACAGGGUGACAGCCCCGUACACAAAAAUGCACAUGCUGUGAGCUCGAUGAGUAGGGCGGGACACGUGGUAUCCUGUCUGAAUAUGGGGGGACCAUCCUCCAAGGCUAAAUACUCCUGACUGACCGAUAGUGAACCAGUACCGUGAGGGAAAGGCGAAAAGAACCCCGGCGAGGGGAGUGAAAAAGAACCUGAAACCGUGUACGUACAAGCAGUGGGAGCACGCUUAGGCGUGUGACUGCGUACCUUUUGUAUAAUGGGUCAGCGACUUAUAUUCUGUAGCAAGGUUAACCGAAUAGGGGAGCCGAAGGGAAACCGAGUCUUAACUGGGCGUUAAGUUGCAGGGUAUAGACCCGAAACCCGGUGAUCUAGCCAUGGGCAGGUUGAAGGUUGGGUAACACUAACUGGAGGACCGAACCGACUAAUGUUGAAAAAUUAGCGGAUGACUUGUGGCUGGGGGUGAAAGGCCAAUCAAACCGGGAGAUAGCUGGUUCUCCCCGAAAGCUAUUUAGGUAGCGCCUCGUGAAUUCAUCUCCGGGGGUAGAGCACUGUUUCGGCAAGGGGGUCAUCCCGACUUACCAACCCGAUGCAAACUGCGAAUACCGGAGAAUGUUAUCACGGGAGACACACGGCGGGUGCUAACGUCCGUCGUGAAGAGGGAAACAACCCAGACCGCCAGCUAAGGUCCCAAAGUCAUGGUUAAGUGGGAAACGAUGUGGGAAGGCCCAGACAGCCAGGAUGUUGGCUUAGAAGCAGCCAUCAUUUAAAGAAAGCGUAAUAGCUCACUGGUCGAGUCGGCCUGCGCGGAAGAUGUAACGGGGCUAAACCAUGCACCGAAGCUGCGGCAGCGACGCUGAUGCGUUGUUGGGUAGGGGAGCGUUCUGUAAGCCUGCGAAGGUGUGCUGUGAGGCAUGCUGGAGGUAUCAGAAGUGCGAAUGCUGACAUAAGUAACGAUAAAGCGGGUGAAAAGCCCGCUCGCCGGAAGACCAAGGGUUCCUGUCCAACGUUAAUCGGGGCAGGGUGAGUCGACCCCUAAGGCGAGGCCGAAAGGCGUAGUCGAUGGGAAACAGGUUAAUAUUCCUGUACUUGGUGUUACUGCGAAGGGGGGACGGAGAAGGCUAUGUUGGCCGGGCGACGGUUGUCCCGGUUUAAGCGUGUAGGCUGGU
rnacentral:rRNA from 1 species